AGUGCUUCUAUAAGCAAGGGAAUGAUAGAAUGAUGCACGAUUCUGCAGGUUAGACGAGCCGCUGACAAAGACAGGCCUCUAUUCUAAAUUUUUACUUGCAAAGAUGGACCAUCAGCUACAUAAUAUGUUGGCUAAACUCUCACAGGUUUGGAGUCGACCAAGGAAGUCACAGUUUAAGAGCUCGAGGAGGAGGGGCGUGUGGAGGUUCCCGCCGCCAGUGGCUGCACUGCUGGUCUUCGUCGCCUGCUCCUGUCAGAUCCAGCAUGACCUACCCUAUCGGUUCUCCGUCGCUUCACUCUGCUUCAUGUGCAUAUGUGCAGAGAAGAUGACGACCCCGCCCCUGUUCUUCGCCAGCCACACUCUCCCUUAUGCGGUAAUAAAUCUCAAGAAAUGCCCUUUUCGUUUACAUGAACAUCAAACCUACUUUUUUGUUUGAUGUUGGUGCAUGUCCAGCCUGAUAUGUGUGUUUGGCUGCUGCUGUGCGAUUGCUGGCUGUGUUGCUACUUGUGGCAAUAGUUAUUUUGUUUAAGUAUGUGGGACGACAAUGCUUCUGUCUUUUGGUGGAAUCAUUUUCCUUUUAAUUUAAUUACCUGAGAAAAAAUUCUAUAUUUUCUUACUUCCCUUUCUUUGUUGUUUUCAUGGCUGACUAUUUGAAGUUAUCUGUUCACUUAAGCAGUUCUUGCCUGCGGGCAAGUUUUUGUAUGUUCAUCUAAUAAUGGAAAAGAUUCAAACCUUCAA